AUUAGACGAAUCAUCUGGAAAGAUGAAUCAAAGAAGGUAAUAAUCCUGUAGUCGAAAAUGUUGUCUCUCUUGAGUGGAUCCUGAGUACGACGGAGCACGUGAAAUUCCGUCGGAAUCUGGGAGGACCAUCUCCUAAGGCUAAAUACUCUCUAGUGACCGAUAGUGAACCAGUACCGUGAGGGAAAGGUGAAAAGCACCCCGGAAGGGGAGUGAAAUAGAACCUGAAACCGUGUGCUUACAAGUAGUCAGAGCCCGUUAAUGGGUGAUGGCGUGCCUUUUGUAGAAUGAACCGGCGAGUUACGAUUUGAUGCAAGGUUAAGCAGUAAAUGUGGAGCCGUAGCGAAAGCGAGUCUGAAUAGGGCGUUUAGUAUUUGGUCGUAGACCCGAAACCAGGUGAUCUACCCUUGGUCAGGUUGAAGUUCAGGUAACACUGAAUGGAGGACCGAACCGACUUACGUUGAAAAGUGAGCGGAUGAACUGAGGGUAGCGGAGAAAUUCCAAUCGAACCUGGAGAUAGCUGGUUCUCUCCGAAAUAGCUUUAGGGCUAGCCUCAAGUGAUGAUUAUUGGAGGUAGAGCACUGUUUGGACGAGGGGCCCCUCUCGGGUUACCGAAUUCAGACAAACUCCGAAUGCCAAUUAAUUUAACUUGGGAGUCAGAACAUGGGUGAUAAGGUCCGUGUUCGAAAGGGAAACAGCCCAGACCACCAGCUAAGGUCCCAAAAUAUAUGUUAAGUGGAAAAGGAUGUGGCGUUGCCCAGACAACUAGGAUGUUGGCUUAGAAGCAGCCAUCAUUUAAAGAGUGCGUAAUAGCUCACUAGUCGAGUGACACUGCGCCGAAAAUGUACCGGGGCUAAACAUAUUACCGAAGCUGUGGAUUGUCCUUUGGACAAUGGUAGGAGAGCGUUCUAAGGGCGUUGAAGCAUGAUCGUAAGGACAUGUGGAGCGCUUAGAAGUGAGAAUGCCGGUGUGAGUAGCGAAAGACGGGUGAGAAUCCCGUCCACCGAUUGACUAAGGUUUCCAGAGGAAGGCUCGUCCGCUCUGGGUUAGUCGGGUCCUAAGCUGAGGCCGACAGGCGUAGGCGAUGGAUAACAGGUUGAUAUUCCUGUACCACCUAUAAUCGUUUUAAUCGAUGGGGGGACGCAGUAGGAUAGGCGAAGCGUGCGAUUGGAUUGCACGUCUAAGCAGUAAGGCUGAGUAUUAGGCAAAUCCGGUACUCGUUAAGGCUGAGCUGUGAUGGGGAGAAGACAUUGAGUCUUCGAGUCGUUGAUUUCACACUGCCGAGAAAAGCCUCUAGAUAGAAAAUAGGUGCCCGUACCGCAAACCGACACAGGUAGUCAAGAUGAGAAUUCUAAGGUGAGCGAGCGAACUCUCGUUAAGGAACUCGGCAAAAUGACCCCGUAACUUCGGGAGAAGGGGUGCUCUUUAGGGUUAACGCCCAGAAGAGCCGCAGUGAAUAGGCCCAAGCGACUGUUUAUCAAAAACACAGGUCUCUGCUAAACCGUAAGGUGAUGUAUAGGGGCUGACGCCUGCCCGGUGCUGGAAGGUUAAGAGGAGUGGUUAGCUUCUGCGAAGCUACGAAUCGAAGCCCCAGUAAACGGCGGCCGUAACUAUAACGGUCCUAAGGUAGCGAAAUUCCUUGUCGGGUAAGUUCCGACCCGCACGAAAGGCGUAACGAUUUGGGCACUGUCUCAACGAGAGACUCGGUGAAAUCAUAGUACCUGUGAAGAUGCAGGUUACCCGCGACAGGACGGAAAGACCCCGUGGAGCUUUACUGUAGCCUGAUAUUGAAAUUCGGCACAGCUUGUACAGGAUAGGUAGGAGCCUUUGAAACGUGAGCGCUAGCUUACGUGGAGGCGCUGGUGGGAUACUACCCUAGCUGUGUUGGCUUUCUAACCCGCACCACUUAUCGUGGUGGGAGACAGUGUCAGGCGGGCAGUUUGACUGGGGCGGUCGCCUCCUAAAAGGUAACGGAGGCGCUCAAAGGUUCCCUCAGAAUGGUUGGAAAUCAUUCAUAGAGUGUAAAGGCAUAAGGGAGCUUGACUGCGAGACCUACAAGUCGAGCAGGGUCGAAAGACGGACUUAGUGAUCCGGUGGUUCCGCAUGGAAGGGCCAUCGCUCAACGGAUAAAAGCUACCCCGGGGAUAACAGGCUUAUCUCCCCCAAGAGUUCACAUCGACGGGGAGGUUUGGCACCUCGAUGUCGGCUCAUCGCAUCCUGGGGCUGUAGUCGGUCCCAAGGGUUGGGCUGUUCGCCCAUUAAAGCGGUACGCGAGCUGGGUUCAGAACGUCGUGAGACAGUUCGGUCCCUAUCCGUCGUGGGCGUAGGAAAUUUGAGAGGAGCUGUCCUUAGUACGAGAGGACCGGGAUGGACAUACCUCUGGUGUACCAGUUGUCGUGCCAACGGCAU
rnacentral:rRNA from 1 species